CUACGGGCGGCUCCAGUGAGGAAUAUUGCACAAUGGGGGGAACCCUGAUGCAGCAACGCCGCGUGGAGGAUGACGCAUUUCGGUGUGUAAACUCCUUUUAUAUGUCAAGAAAAUGACGGUAGCAUAUGAAUAAGCACCGGCUAACUCCGUGCCAGCAGCCGCGGUAAUACGGAGGGUGCAAGCGUUACUCGGAAUCACUGGGCGUAAAGGGCGCGUAGGCGGGUUGGAAAGUCAGGUGUGAAAUCCUACAGCUUAACUGUAGAACUGCACUUGAAACUUCUAAUCUAGAGUAUGGGAGGGGGAGAUGGAAUUAGUGGUGUAGGGGUAAAAUCCGUAGAUAUCACUAGGAAUACCGAAAGCGAAGGCGAUCUCCUGGAACAUUACUGACGCUAAGGCGUGAAAGCGUGGGAAGCAAACAGGAUUAGAUACCCGCGUAGUC
rnacentral:rRNA from 1 species